rnacentral:rRNA from 1 species
CCUACGUGCGGCAGCAGUGAGGAAUAUUGGUCAAUGGGCGCGAGCCUGAACCAGCCAAGUAGCGUGAAGGAUGACUGCCCUACGGGUUGUAAACUUCUUUUAUAAAGGAAUAAAGUGAGGCACGUGUGCCUUUUUGUAUGUAAUUUAUGAAUAAGGAUCGGCUAACUCCGUGCCAGCAGCCGCGGUAAUACGGAGGAUCCGAGCGUUAUCCGGAUUUAUUGGGUUUAAAGGGAGCGUAGAUGGGUUGUUAAGUCAGUUGUGAAAGUUUGCGGCUCAACCGUAAAAUUGCAAUUGAUACUGGCAGUCUUGAGUACAGUUGAGGUAGGCGGAAUUCGUGGUGUAGCGGUGAAAUGCUUAGAUAUCACGAAGAACUCCGAUUGCGAAGGCAGCUUACUAAACUGCCACUGACAUUGAUGCUCGAAAGUGUGGGUAUCAAACAGGAUUAGAUACCCUUGUAGUC